CUCGGCCAGCGUCUCGCGGUCAGGCUGCCUCUGCUGUGUUUGAUUGAGAUUUAUUAAAAGGGUCUCCCUCCUCUCCUAUGUCUGAAAAAAAAAUGAAGAAUCUGUGUGAGAAAAGAGGAAUAGCUAACAAAGAUCUCAACAAAGCCCUGCUCUGUAGACAGAGCCUACACUGACAGAAGGGUGUAGAAAUGCCAUCUCCCUGAGCGCUUUUCCAUCUAUGUCUAUACAGGUCUGUAGUGCUGCCAGAGCAGUCCAUAGCAUCACUCAAGCAUGUGAAAUCUAUGAUGAAGUUACCCUCCAUUACCUUGAAAAACUAUGCUCGGGCAGCUUGGCCUUGUCAUUUUCUGAACCUCAGGGUCAGGGGCAACACACUAUUCCUUGGUUCUGACCUAGAAGGCUGGAGUCCCUGUUUGUGUUGUCUGCCCCAGCUGAGAGUCUCAACAUCUGUGUGUCGGGGUGUAUCAACCUUGCACUGGAUAAGGGAAAUAGAACAAAAGUAAAGCAUAAACAUGAGCAUCUGUGAAGCAACUAUAAAGUUAUUGCUGGCCAGGUUGGGGAAUGACAAAUUAAGAGAUGAGCAUGAACCAUAAAAAUGGUUGUCUGGAAGAAAGACAAAGAAUGUGGACACCAAAAAUGGGAAACAAACAUGAGCCAAGGAAAGGGAGACAGAAAGGCAGCAGCAAAAAGCAGCAUGCUGCCCAGACCUGGAAGCAGAAGCAGCUGCACACUAACAAGCCAUGGAACUGGAAAAGAAGGAAACCCAAGAAAAUGAGAAGGAAAGGCUUCAUGCCCAGAGCAAAAUGGGCAAACAGGCAAAUCCCACAGUCUCCAGGGCUGCUGUUGAGAUUUCCAAGGCCCCAAGCUACUGGACAUAAAGGUGUUGACAACAACUUUGGAAAAUGUAUGGCUGUGUUAUAACAAGAGAGAGAUGAAAAAUAAAAAAGCAUUUGCAUGACAAACUGCAA